CUUAAAGUGAAAAGAGCCUAAGGCCAGGCACUUGAAACUCACAGUAUGCUGAGAUAUACAUAGUCUAGUGUUUGUUCAUCAGGUGAUAAUCAGCUAAUAAACAUUUAUUCAGCCCCUCCUCACCAGGUGCCAGGAAAUUGUAGGGAAGGGGGAUGGAAGAUACUAUACGCUUUCCUUUUAUUAAGUGAGAUUCAAUUAUUCUUUUAAAUACUUUAUUUCAGUAGCAUGAGGGGAGAAGGAGAAGUGGAGUUGCUUAGUUGGAGCAAAGAGAGUGUUUCAGGAAGCCACAGACCAGAUGGAGAGGCAGGGAAGCUGAACCACAAAUUGGAAAUGAGGCCAAGAAAGAGACAAGCAACAUUUUGGUGACCGAGAUUCAAUGGUACUUCAUAACAAGAAGCCUUCACUUGUCAUGUAUGGCUUCCAAAAGACUCCCCAAAAGUUCUCACUUAGUUUCUUACGUGGACCCACGAUAUAUCCAAACUGCAAUGGGGAAAAUCGUGCUGUGGAAGUAUGCCAUCUGUAUGCCAUCAACAAAUAGAGCUGGCAAGAACAUCUGUUGACAUCAAGGAAGGCGGAAAUUCGCUAGCCAGACUUCAACAGAAACCUUGGCACAACUGGUGAAUGUGAGUGGAAAAAUGAGUGUCAUAAUUUUGUGAGCACGGCUGGUGAUGCGUACAUAUCUAUGUAUCUUUGUAAGGUUUCCUUUUCAAACAUGACAGCCAUUAAACUGAAUAUCAGAAUAAAUUGAACUUCAAAUCAUUCUAGCA
rnacentral:lncRNA from 1 species